rnacentral:lncRNA from 1 species
ACAUGAGAUGCUCUCUUCAGUCCGGGGCUUGGUUGAACGGACUCACCAGGAAACGUGACUUUCGUGUCCGACCUCUGCUGUAUCAGGAUUCGAUUCUUGGUGUUAAACAAGACAACGCUGAAGGCUCGGUGCAGCAGCCCUGCAAAGGAGUGGAGCCCCAACCCACGCAGGGCGUGUCUUCAUGGCUUUUCCUGGCCAAUCUGAUACCAAGAUGCAGUGGCCAGAAGUACCUGCACUUCCACUCCUGUCAAGUCUCUGCAUGGCUAUGGUGAGGAAGAGCUCUGCACUGGGCAAGGAAGUUGGCCGUCGAGUGAAGGAAAUGGUGAUGCUGGUGGCCCCUUUCCGGCAGUCAAGUUCCCUAUCAAGGACAUUCAGUUCUCGGAAAGUGGUGAAGGCACAUGCUUCCCUGCAUGGUGCCCGCCUCUCUCCACUCUCUAGAAAUAUUAGAGGCUAGGCUGCUGCUGUAUGUCAGGGCUAGUCCCUCUUCUAUGAAUCCAGAAUAACUCUGAAGAAGCCGAGUAACAGGCAUGAAGUGAAGAGAAAUCGCUGUAACAGGAAGACAGCAAAGCAGAUGCUAAUGACCACACUAUUUAACGAACUGGAACCAACGAGAAAAUACGGUAUUACUGAAGACUGCACUUCCUUGAACAGAGUGCUCUUCUCAGCAAAUCGGAAAUGCCUACACAAAUCGCUUUACAAGAAAGACUGUUUCAAAGCAGCACCUUUCUCAAUGUUCUCGUUCAGGUGACAAUUCUUCUUGGUCUCAGCUCCAAUUUUAUUGUCAUUUUCAUCAAUAAGGAUACACAUCUCUGCCAGGAGUUGAACCUGUUGCUUGUCGAGGUGGUUAGUGUUUAUUUCAGGCAUCAUUACAAAAUGUCUGAUCUGUUCUAGAACACUAAUAUUAAAGGAAAAGAGAAAGAAAGGCAAAAAAAAAAAAAAAAAAA